AGAGCGAACCGCUAGUCUGAGCUCCUUAUCUUUAACUUUACAGUGGUAUUAUCUAUGUCUAGCCUAUAGGACGAGACUUAAACGAAUAUCAGUUGUCGGGCAGAUAAUUAGGACAUCAGUGACUGAGUUCUUGUACAGUUUAAUGAGUUUAAAGAAUGUGAGUAGCCUACCUCGUGACGCCUAGCCUGGGCACCAUUUUAGCUCGUAGUGCUCGAGCCAGAUGCAGUCACCAUGGUCCUCGGUGCACGGGACGUAUCCGACUUUGCUGAGUUGCUGAGACAGAGGAGGAUCUCUUUGCCGCUCGUUAAGACAAAGACAGAUGGAGAGAACGCAGUGACGCUAGCUCAAACAGGUCGACACGAGAAACGGGGAUCCACGCACGCUUCCACACACCUGACUCCCCACUCUCUUCCCUUCCAACGCCUCAAGAAUGGCGCUUAGAGCUCAUCGGCACGUGAUGGUGACCUUGUCCCUGCCGACGACCCUACAAUGACCUCUAGCGACCUGGCUCGGGAUGAUGAGGUGCUGGCUAUGGAGCCCCUGCUAAAGCCACGGCCAAAGCUCCUGAGCCAACGUUUUCAGACAGAUCACUGUAAGAGACAGUUCACUACACACUGUACAGUAAUGGCUCUCUUUCUGAAAGACAAAGGUUUAAAAAACGUGUUGAUUGCAGCAAAAGAAACACCUCACAGAGCACCAGAGCUUCAGACUCUCCGAUACCUGACCGUCAUGUUCAUCGAGCUCACACAGCUGGACAACAUCUCACACCUGGGAUGGUGCUGAAGUGGACGCCGUGUGAACUUCACCAGCAAUGGCUCCAAUCUGACAUUAACGCAGUCCUAUCUAAAAUGGCAGUUGGAGAUAUACCUGAGAGAAAGAUGGAGGUGGAAGACAUGAAGGAAGAGACACUCUGGAAAGAUGGAGGGGGAGGACAGGGCUUCUAUUAAGGAGAAGGAGACCGCUGGAAAUAUGGGGCAGGAGGACAGCGCCUCUGUCCAGGAGGCCUGUAGAAAGAUGGACAACGAGGACAGGGCCUCUGAGCUCAAAGACUAUUUCACUGCUCUUGAGGAGAACCGCAGAAACAUGCAGAAUCUCCUGCAAGAGCAGAAAGAAGAGUAUGAGAUGGAGUUGAGGGCUCUGGAGAGGGAGAGUGUGCAGGAGAGAGAGAUGCGGAAUAGAAAUGAGGCCCUGAAGAGGGAGAGAGAGAUGCGGAAUAGAAAGGAGGCUCUGGAGAGGGAGAGAGAUGCGGGAAAGAGAGGAAGCCCUGCUGUCCACUUUUAUUUCCGUUGUUGUCUGCAAGGACAAGCUCAUGAAAGACCUGAGGAUCCAGAUGGACAGACCGAGUCCAUCUAAGGUGUGCGAGGCACAAUGGGGCCAUUUUCAAACACAUGGGGCCACUGGCACUGCAGUGGUCACACUCCAGGAUAAUUCUAUACCUCAACAAGUUGCGGAGAGUGACCUGCAGGGGAACAAUACUGAACUGAAGAAAAAGGAGAAAAGGGCAUACCGUUUGCAGCGUCAUUUUCUUGCAUUCUACUUCGGAAAGCGGCACGAUUAUUUUUAUUUCUGGCUUGAUUUUUUUUUUUUACACGUUUUCACUCUUACAUUUGAUCUUACAACUAGCUUCUCAUCCAAAUGUAAGUACCGAUACUUCGACACACCGUUUGCAGCAUCUUAAUUUUUCAAAAGCGGAAAAAAGCGGCUAGCCAUAACUAGAGCCAUAACUAGAACUAACCAAUCCACCAGGCCUAUACAAUGUGGAUAGAACCAGAUGUGGAACAUAUCAUUUAAAAGUGAACAUAUUGAAAAACAGCAUUUUCCUUGCUAACAGGGCCUCUGUUAGAGUGGAGGAGAUCUGUCGAAAGAUGGAAAAGGAGGACGGGCCCACUGAGCUGAAGGAGCUUUUAGAUUAUUUCACUGCUCUUGAGGAGGACCGCAGGAACCUGCAGAAUCUCCUGCAAGAGAAAAAUGAAGAAAAUGAAAUGAAGUUGAGGGCUAAGGAGAGGGAGAUGGUGCAUGAGAGGGUAGAGUUGGAGAGUGAGAUGCGGGACAGAGGAGGCCCUGCUGUGCACUUUUAUUUCCGUUGUUGUCUGAAAGGACAAGGUCAUGAAAGACCUGAGGAUCCAGAUGGACAGACCGAGUCCAUCUAGGGUGUACGAGGCACAAUGGGGCCACUGGCACUGCAGUGGUCACACUCCAGGAUGCUUAUUAAAGCGCUAUACCUCAACAAAUUACGGAGAGUGACCUGCAGGGGAACAAAAGGCUGGAGGACCGGGGCAAAGCUGAACUGAAGAAAAAGGAGAAAGCCCUUCAACAGGCAGAGAAGAAAAGAAUGCGAAUAUUCUUCUGUAAAA